rnacentral:lncRNA from 1 species
AAAGGGUGGAAUCGGAGCUAUAGCUGCUGGCCUACACCACAAGCCACAGAAACAUAAGAUCUGAGUCACAUCUGUGACCUAUACUACAGCUCAUGGCAACAUGGGAUACUGAACCCACUGAGCAAGGCCAUGGAUCAAACCUGCCUACUCAUGGAUGCUAGACAGAUUUGUUUCUGCUGAACCAUGACAGAAACUCCCCAACUUGCUUUCCAAAGAAGUUUGUUAAUUUACACUUCCAAGGUCAUUAUAUAAGAAUUUCUGAGAGUGGGAUCGAGAUGGCAGAGGAAUAGGAUGUGGUGCUCACCUUCUCCCACAAACACCUCAAAAAAACCCAUCUACAGAACAAUUCACAUAGAACAGCUACCGAAUGCUUACAGAAGACCUCAAACUUCCAAAAAGGGCAAGAAAUCCUCCACAUAACUGGGUAGAACAAAAGAUGAGUGGGGGUAGGGGGGAGAAGGGAAGAGAAAAAAAAGAUAUCAGGAUAGGAUCAGCACUUUGGGAAGGAAGUUGUGUAAGAGGAAAGGAAUUAGCACAUUGGGAGACCACCUAACUGACAGGGAGAUACCUGGGGUAGAGAGGGGUAGAUUGAAAGCCUUUCAGAAAAGCAGAGCAGCUGGUCUGAGGAGAACAAUGCAGAAAGAGAGCCACGCAGUGGUAUAUAUACACAAUGGAAUACUACUCAGCCAUAAAAAAGAACAAAAUAAUGUCAUUUGCAACAACAUGGAUGGAACUAGAGACUCUCAUACUAAGUGAAGUAAGUCAGAAAGAGAAAGACAAAUACCAUAUGAUAUCACUAAUAUCUUGAAUCUAAUAUACGGCACAAAUGAAUCUAUCUAUAGGAAAAAAAAAAAGAAAGAAAAAACAAACUCAUGGACGUGGAGAACAAACUUGUGGUUGCCAAGGAGAGAAGCAAUGGGAAUGACUGAGAGUUUGGGGUUAGUAGAUGCAAACUAUUACAUUUAAAAUGGAUAAGCAGUGAGGUCCUGCUCUACAGCAGAAGGAACUAUAUCCAAUCACUUGUGAUAGAACAUGAUGGAAGACAAUAUGAGUAAAAAAAUGAAUAUACAUGUAUGACUGAGUCACUUUGCUAUACAGCAGAAAUUGACACAACACUGUAAAUCAACUGUACUCUAAUUAAAAAAAAAAAAAAAGUUCUACAGAAACACUACAGGCCAGAAAAGAGUGGCAAGAUACAUUCGAAGUUCUAAAAGGGAAAAUUUUGCAGCCUAGAAUACUCUACCCAGCAAGAUUAUCAUUUAAAAUAUGAGAAAUAAGGAAUUUCUCAAAUAAAAACCAAAAGAAUACAGCAAUACUAAACUCUUUCUAAAAGAAAUACUGAAAACUCUCCUCUAAAUAGGAAAGAGAUAAGAAGUAACAGGAUGGAAGAAAUCACAAUUAGAAAAUGAUCACUUAAAUAAGCCAGUUUUCAGAUCAAAAAGUAAAACAAAUCUAUUUGUGAAAGUAAUGAUAAAUACAAGGAAUAGCAAAAGGAGCAACAUAAAUAUGAAAAAAAAAGAAUAUCAAAAUCAUAAAAUAUGGGGAAGGAGAAUAAGAAAAUCUAGACUUUUUUUUUUUAAGAAUGUAUUUGAGCCUAUAUGACAAUCAGGAUAAGCAAGCAGAUAUAGAAAGGUAUUAACAUACUUGAAAAAUGGGGCAAACACAAAUCAAAACCAAACAAUACAUUCACAAAACCCAAAAAGAAACGCACAAAGCAUAAAAGGAAAUCAUCCAACCAAAUAAAGAAAAAGGAAGGAACAGGGGAGAAACAUAGACUCAAAUGGAAAACAAGGUUUAAAACAGCAAAGAAUACAUAUUUAUCAAUAAUUACCUUAAAUGUCAAUGGACUGAAUGCUACAAUCAAAACACAUAGAGUGGCAGAUUGAAAUAAAAAAAAAAAAAUGGAGUUCCCAUGUGGCUCAGAGGAAACCAAGUCUAGUAUCCAUGAGGAUCUGGUUUGAUCCCUGGCAUCAUUCAGUGAGUUAAGGAUCCAGCAUUGCCAUGAGCUGUGAUAUAGUUUGCAGAUGCAGCUUGGAUCCCACAUUGCUGUGGCUGUGGCAUAGGCCAGGCAGCUGUAGCUGUGAUUCCACCCCUAGACUGGGAACCUCCAUAUGCUGCGGGUAUGGCCCAAAAAACCUAAAUUAAUUAAUUAAUUAAUUAAUUAAAAAAUAAAAAUUUUCAAAAUAAAAAAAUAGCCUACAACGUGAUGUCUACAAGAGACUCACCUUAGGCUAAAAGACACAUAAACUGAAAGAUACAUGCACCUAUAUUUUCAUAGCAGCACUAUUCACAAUAGCCAAGACAUAGAAACAACGAACAUGUCCAUCAACAACGAACAUGUCCAUCAACGAACAUGUCCAUAUAUAUACACACACACACAUUCAGCCUAAAAAAGAACAAAAAUAUGCCAUUUAUGGCAACAUGGAUGCAAUCAGAACUUCUCAUACUAAGUGAAGGAAGUCAGAAAGACAUAUACCACAUAAUAUCACUUAUAUGUGGAAUCCAAAAUAUAACACGAAUGAAACUAUAAAACAGAACUAGACUCACAGACAUAGAGGACAGACUUGUGGUUGCCAAGGGGAGGGGAGAGGGAGUGUAAAGGACUGGGAAUUUGAGAUUAGUAGAUGCAAACUAUUACAUUUAGAAGGGGUAAGCAAUGGGAGUUCCCAUUGUGGUGCAGCAGCGAAAACGAAUCUGACUAGUAACCAUGAUGUUGAGGGCUCGAUCCCUGGCCUCGAUGAGUAGGUUAAGGAUCUGGUGUUGCCAUGACCUGUGCUGUAGGUGGCGGACGUGGCAUGGAUCCUGUGUUGCUGUGGCUGUGGCGUAGGCCGGCAGGGGCUGUGGCUCCAGUUUGACCCUAGCCUGGGAACCUACAUAUGCUGCAAGUGAAGGCUUAAAAAGCAAAAAGAAAAAAAAAAAAAAGAAUGGAUAAGCAAUGAAAUCCCACUGUAGAGCACAGGGAACUAUAUCAAGUCUCCUUGGGACAGACCACGAUGGAAGGUACUAUAAGAAAGAGAAUGUAUAUAUAUGUAUGACUAGGUCACUUUGCUAUAUAGCAGAAGUUGGCACAAUAUUGUGAAUCAACUAUAAUUGAAAAAAAAAAAAGAAUUCCUAUAUUCCAUAUCAUCUCUAAUACUUAGUGAACUAAAGCACAAUGACAGUGGAAGUAAAAAGAAAAAGAAAAAAGAUUUAGGCUCUAUUUAGGAAAGAAAGCAUGCAAAGAUGGAGUGAAUACGAAGCAGAGGUCAGGAUGACAUUAUUAUUAUAAACCAAUAUAACAAGUAAAAUAUUUCAAUUUCAUUAUAAUUUUUAUUUCGCUGAUUGUUAGAGAUUAAACACCUUUUUAUGGUUACUGGCUAUGUAUUUAAGUGUCAUUUCCUCAUUUUUCCAUUUUAUUUGUGUGUAUGUUUUCACUGAUUUGUAAAAAAUUUUUUUAUAUUCUGAGUAUUAAUAUUUGUUGGUUAUAUGAAUGAUAAAUACAUUCUGCUAUUUUGUUGUCUUUUCAUUUCCUUUAUAGUAUUUUGAAUCAACAGAAGUUAUUCAUUUAAUAUAUUAAAACUAAUCAAUAAUUUACUUUAUGGUUAGAACCUUUUUAUUUAUUUAUUUAUUUAGUCUUUUUAGGGCCACACCCACAGCAUAUGGAAGUUCCCGGGCUAGGAGUUACAGCUGCUUACCACAGCCACAGCCACAACCAUGUGGGAUCCCAGCCACGUCUGCGACCUACAAUGCCAGAUCCUUAACCCACUAAGUGAGGCCAGGGAUCUAACUGCAUCCUCAUGGAUACUAGUCAGAUUUGUUUCCACUGCGCCACAAAGGGAACUCCUAGAAGAUUUUUUUUUUAAUGGCCACACCCAUAGGAAAUUCCCAGGCCAAGGACUGAAUCCCAACCACAGCUGUGACCUGUGCUGCAACUGUGGCAAUACCAGACCCUUUACACCCACUGCACAUGGCGGGAAAUUGAAGUCGCACUUCUGCACGGAGCUGAGCCACUGCAGUCAGAUUUUUAACUACGGCACCACUGUAGGAACUCCAAACUUUUUCGUACUUUGUUUAACAAAAACCUUCCCACCUUAAAACUAGAAAAAUAUUAUUCUAUACUUCUUCCUGUUGUUUUCUUUUCACAAAAGUCUUUAUCUCUUUAAGCUGACUCGUGUGUAGCAUGAGGCAAGAACUCAAUUUCAGUUUUUGGCAUGGAUAUCCAGUUGUCCCAGCACUAUUUAUUGAACAGUUCUUUUUUUCUCCAUUGAUCUUCAAUGCUCCCCAAGCUAGAUGUUUUCUGGAGCCCAUGGCACCCAUUGAUUUUCCCCUGUAGUACAAAAGAAAGAAACCUAAGGACUGAAUUUUCCAAACUUCCUUCCCAGCAAGGUUUGAGAUGUAGUUUGGAUGCUGUCAGAGAAAUGCACUUAUGAAAAUUUGAAAACAGUAGGAAGGUAGAAACAAUUCAUUCUGAACAACAUGGACAGAGGAGAUACAGAUCUGAGUAGGUAGGAAGACUUUUAGGAGCCAGAUGUGGACUUUUAAGUUCUUAUCCUGUCUUGGGGCUGCAUUUUGGAGAUGCUGAAGGAGUGUCCCAACAUCUGCUGGCUUGGGUAGCAGCCAAAUAAUUCUGACUCUCUGGAUGACUGUAGCAGUGAACUCUAAAGCUAAUGCACCCUGGUGUCCCAACCCUCUGUCCUUCGAGCCCUUCAAUAAUUUAUGUAACUCUAUUUUCCUGUUUUAAAUACUUCCUACUUAGUAUAUUGAGUAGUUUCUGUUUUCCCUGUUUUGCCCUAAGAAAUAGCCCUUUGUCAAAGAAUCAGACUUCCAUUCAUUAGUGAGUCUUCCUGGGUUUUCCAUUAGGUAUCAUUGGUUGGUUUGUCUAUUUUUGAGGCAGUAACACAAUCUCAUGGCAAUGCCAGACCCUUAACCCACUGAACAGGGCCAGGAACUGAACCCAUGUCCCCAUGGAUAUUAGUCAGAUUUGUUACUGCUGAGCCACAAUAGGAACUCCUCAAAUCUAUUUUUAUUCAUUUAUUUAUUUUUCUUUUUUAGCCACACCUGCAGCAUAUGGAAGUUCACAGGCCAGGGAUCAAAUCCUAGCUGUAGCUGCAACCUAUGCCACAGCUGCAGCAACAUCACAUCCUUAACACUGCACCACAGCAGGAACUCCUCAAAUCUAUUUUUAAACAGCUAUAACUUUUUUGGACUUGUAUCAAAUCUAUAGAUAAGUUUUGGCAAAAUUAACUUGGAUCUAUGUUUUAGAAGCAUCAUUCUAAUAAUGAUAAUUCUAUUAGGUUUGGUGGGGUCAGACAGAAGAAUGAAAGCUAUAUAGGUGGGAGUUCCCAUCAUGGCUCAAUGGUUAACAAUUCUGACUAGCAUCCAUGAGGACACAGGUUCGAUCCCCGGCCUUGAUCAGCAGGUUAAGGAUCCGACAUAGCCAUGAGCUUUGUAGGUGGCAGACACAGCUCGGAUCCUGUGUUGCUGUGGCAUAGGCCAGCGGUUACAGCUCUGAUUUGACUCCUAGCCUGGGAACCUACAUAUGCUGCAGGUGCAGCCCUAAUAAGCAAAACAAAACAAAACAAAAUCUAUAUAGGCAAUUAGGUGAAAUAAAGCAGUAAAAAUGAGAAUGAAGAGAUUUAUACUAUGUUUAGGAGAUGAAACAUGCCAAGAUGCACUGACUAGGAAGGAAAAUUCAGGAAUGACUUAGAUUUUCUUCUGGGUCUUUGAAGAUAUUUAAAGAUAAGUACAGAAGCAGCCUACUUAGGAACAAGGACAGUAAGACUGGUUUGAGGCAUACUGCAUUUUGGUGACUAAGAGAUAUUCAAAUGAAUAUGAGUCUGAAACUCUGCAGAGAGGAAUAAGCUCUAUAUUUAUAGUUAUGAGUCAGCCAUAUGAGUGGUUGUGGAAGUCAGUGUGGAAAAACAUGCCCACACUUGGGAACAAGCCUUUGGGAAUGUUGUAAUUUGGGAGAGAUCAGAAGAAAAGGGAGACUGGAGGUAAUGUCCAGAGAUAUAAUAGGAAAACCAGAGAAGAAAACUGUUAUGAUAGUCAAAGGAAGAAAGGUUUAAGAAAGAGGAAGCUAUUAACAUUGUAAAAUAAUUAAAGAAGAAAUAUAUCCACCUGAUUUAAUAACAUAAAUGUAAUUGGUUGAAAUAAUUUCAUUGCUGUUUUGGGGACAGAAGACGAACUGUUGUCAGAUGAGCAGCAAAUGACCAGUGAGGAAGGGAAAUGGGGAAUGUAAAUGGCUCUUCAAGAAGGGUGGCUACAAAGGAAAAGAGAUAUACAACAGUAGCUAGAGGGUGCUGUGGGGUCAAUUUUUUAUUUAUUUUAUUUUAUUUUAUAGAACAUGUUUAUAUUUGAAGGGUGCAAACAGAAUUUAAAGUAAAGUAGAUGGCCGAUGGCCCAAGGUCUCUGACAAGUCAGAAAACAAACUCCAGGGAGUUCCCAUUACGGCUCAGCAAAAACAAAUCUGACUAGUAUCCAUGAGGAUGUGGGUUGGAUCCCCGGCCUUGCUCAGUGGGUUAAGGAUCUUGUGUUGCCAUGAGCUCUGGUGCAGUUCACAGACUUGGCUCGAAUCCUGCAUUUCAGUGGCUGUGCUAGAGGCCGGCAGCUGUAACUCCGAUUUAACCCCUAGCCUGAGAACUUCCAUAUUCCACAGGUGCAAACCUAAAAAGCAAAGAAAAAAAAAAUAAAAAAAUAAAAGACAAACUCCAAGGCAGGUAGUUGGCUAGGUGAAUGAGACUUCGGCAUUGGGAAAUGCAAAAGACUGUGAAAGCAUGGGUCCUGGUGGAAAUAUACUGUAUAGGUGGUCUGGAGUUGUGGUGUGAGUUAUUUCUUGUUUUUCUGAAUGAAUAAGAAGGCAAACUUAUGUGCUGAGAUCAAGAAUAAAUGGAACAGAGAAAGGAAUCUGAGGCAAGUCUGGAGUACCUAUGGAUUCAAGAGGGAAAAGUAGCUGACUAGCUGCAUAGAGGAGGAUUCCAGGCAGCACUCAGAAUCCAUCAAAGGUCAAAGGGUUUGUUCGAGUUGCUGGCUGAUUUCCCCCAGUGCAACUCAAUAAUCUAGGGAAAGCCUGCUUCAUUUUAUCCCAAGCCUUGUGUACAGAAUUAUCCAUAUUAGAGUGAAAUUGAAUGUCAUGUGAUUUCACUUGAAUUUUAUUGCAAAUUGGUGUGGGCUAAGUGGUAGCUAAGACUGCCAUAAUUAGACCCAUAGGAAGAAACAUAAGAGACUGAAUGAUAGUAUGUGGCAGGAUAAAAACAAAAAAACAGAAGAAUAUGUCCAUAGGAAAAUGUUCUUUUCCUUUGGCUGCUCUGGGCUAUAUCAAGAGGCAUUCAUAUGUGGCCAGGAGCAACAAUUAUUUUUUUAAAUAAGGUUUUCAAGUCCUACAACACUAUUAAUAAUGUCAAAUGAAAAACAUGUGGGAAAAACCACCAUCCAAAGAUAGAUUCAUAUAGGAUAGUGAUUAACCAACUCCAGCCAACAGAUCAGAUAUCCUGCUCUUUAAGAAACUUAAUAAAACCGUAGAACUUAUUGAUUUUGCUCUUCCUCUAGGCAGAAAUAUGCCAAGAAUAUACAGAGAGAAAAUAAAUAAUCUCAAGCUUUCAUAAGAAAGCUGAAGCAAAUGUGGAGUUAUAGACUCUCAAAGUGAACCCAGGGAUAGGCUGGUUCAGCAUGCAGCUAAUAUUAUAAAGAUUCAUUACCAGGUGCUUGUCUUAACAAAGAUGAAACACAUAUCAUAUGACCUGAAGAUUUUUUUCCCCCUAAAAUGUACCCAGGAGAAUGGAGACAGAAGAGCAAGUUAUUACAGGAUGUACUGAUAAACCAUCUGUGAAGUAGAGAUCCAUCAGCUGUCCCAUGAGAGGCAAUUCUAGAAGGUUCCAGGGGAAUGGUUUGAUACUUUGUUAAUCACUGAGACUCCAACAGCACAGCUGUUACUAGAAAAUGUGAGGGG